ACACUUACUUUUUAUGCAUGCAUUGCAGAUUUUAUAAGAAUAUGUUACAUUGGGGUGCCUCUUUGUUAUUCAUGUGUACUUCCGUAGUACUUCUGUGACUAAAGCAUUUUAUUUGAAUUUUUGUUAAAACGAAUUCUGCUGUUUUCAACUGUUGCAUGCAAAUUGAAUUACGCUUUGUAAUUUACAGUCAUGAUUCAUGCUGGCAUGGAUCACAUACAUGUUAACACAUUCUCACUAGCCUUGAAUGAUCAGUUCAUGAUACCUUAAUGAAACACCCUGAGCGAGCUAUAGGUUCAGCUGUGAAGUCAGUGAUGAAAGAAAGUUACUUGAAAACAUUUGACUCAGAAACGAAUUGACUGUCACAGCACUUCAUUUUCCAGGAAAAAAACUUAUUUGUGUAAAUGGAAUAAUGAAAAAGGAUAUUCGUUUAUGAUAGAAGUACUGGAAUACUAUGUAUGAUAGCUGUCUAAAAAUUUCAACAAUCUUUGACUCAUUGGUUAGAUUAGUUUAGUAUGAAGAAGCUUGAAUGCAGUUGUCUUCAAUUUCCUUAUCUCUACAGUGAGUAUCGAUAAAGUUGUUCAGUCUGUGUACUUACUGCCUAUUGCAGAAUAGCAGAUGCUUUUAAUUAUAUCAUGCGUUGUCUGUAUUUUACAUAAAAUUUGCAUCUUGGUUUUCACUACAAACUCCAAAUAAUGGGAACCUUGAUCUGCGUUCGAUUGAAGAAAGUUCUAGGAUAUGCAAUGAAAUGGUGUACGAGAUGCAAGUGUGGGCAGCUCGGCGCUCAUGAUUGUCGUGCCAAUUUUUCAAGAAGUUUGAAGGCUAUGAGCCAGAUAUGGCAAUCAAACUAAUAGUACGUAAUGACAUGUUGAAAUGUGAAAAAUUUAUGGGCGCAACUUUGAUUGGUGAUGGAGACUCUUCAUCUGUAGCUGCAGUUAGAAGGGAAAACACAUGAAAUUGUAAAGAGGGAGGAUCUUAACUAUACUAUAAAAACCUGUGCAAAAUAAUCUGUGAGCCAUGAUAAGUCUUCCACUGAAGCUAUCAAUAUGACAUAUUGCUUUUCAUUUGCAUUGAAACCGAACAAAGAAAAAGAAAUACAAAAACGAUCCGAUAAGAUGGAAUGGGGUCGCAACUCGUCGAUAAACCAAGAGAACAAAUCAUUGCACUUUGUAUAAUUGUUUGAUCUGGACACAUCAGGCUUUGGAAAGAUUGCCAAAAUGUACCAGAUUGCAGCCAGGUACGAAGAAGAAGAGUUCAAUGAUUGCAUUGUUCUUGAGAAAGGUAUACGAGAAAAAGUUACAGAAAUCACAAGUCUUCGUCUCCGACAACAGGGAGGGUGUCGACGGGUCCACCAAGACCAGCCAUUUGCUCCUCAGUUGCUGAAGCAAGUUACAGCACUGCGACUCGUCGACAAAUUCACCGAAGUUGUAUCUCAUUUCAAUGAUACCUUACCACUCUUUUCAAAAAAUCUAGCCGAAUCUAGAAGGCCACAAAACCAAUUCAAGCAAGUUGAUCUUGCCUGAUCUUAAUAACGACGAGGAAUGCCAACGCUAUUUUUAACGUGCAAGUAUUGGUAAAGCUUAUCACAGUAUUUGGUAUUUACGAAGAGAUGAAUCUGAGGCGAGUACAGUCUUUUCACAUCAUGAAUUAUGAAAAGAACCAAAAAAGUUUAGGUCGCUGGAAUUAUGAAGACACUUAAAGUUCUUAGAUCCUAUAUGUCGAUAGGAAUGUUGAGGAAGAGUGCAGAAAUUGAGAAAUCUCUUCCUCUGUUGAUAAAAGUAUAUACCGACAAUUACGCAAAGAGUGUGGAGAUGCUGUUCGGAGAAGAUCUGAACGGUAAACCGAGAAUCACGGAACAGAAAAAAGUGUUUGCUAAUAUUGCAUAAAAAUUUAGUACACUGCCUCUUAAUAAAAAAUAAUUUCUAGGAGUAUCGUUACUACGUAAUUUGACCGUUAUAAACUGCAAUGUUCUAUCAUUUCUCUCUGUGUACAUCAUAUUGGAGCGUGAUAAAAUUGUUAUUGGUUUAUGUUCUUUGUGGUUGUGAGGAUGCAAAUAAACACUUUGUAUCUUAA